rnacentral:lncRNA from 10 species
UUCAGCUCUGAAAAGUGAUUAUUGUUCAAGCCUCCAGUAGGUCUGCUGACAGCCAUGGCAUCAAUUUCCACAGGGGAAAGGUAAACCUGCAGUUGUCCUGUGUGAGAAACAUGAAUUCCAGUGCAGGUGUUAAGGUGCAGAUUCUUAAGUGACACAGCCCAAAACUCUGAGUAGGUCUGAGCAGAUGGUCAAAGACAACACUUCUAAGAGUGGUUCAGAGAGCACAGGAUUUUAAACCACAAAAAUCUAAAUCCACUUAAUAGGAAUGUGACAUCGAUAUAGCUUUUUAAUCUUUUUAAGUCUCAGAUUUAACAUUUUGUAAGUGGAUAUAAAGAUAGUACUUAUCUCAUCUGGUAGUUAUAAAGAUUAACUAAAGAAUUCAUGAUAAGCACCUAACAAAUUUCUGUCACAUAGCAUAAUUGCUCAAAAAGGUAUCAUCUUUAUCCUUAUUAUUUUAUCUUUAUUCUUGAGUAAAGCACAUCUAUAUAGUAAAAUCUUUUUCAAUCAUUUAAAAAAAUUUUGAGUAUAUUGUGACUUGAAUUAUUUUAAGUUGAAGAUUAAGUUCUGAUCUGGCAAUGAUGAAUAAAGAUCAGACUUUAUGUUAUUUUUCUCUAUGUAAUUUCCAUUUAACUUUGAAAUUCUAGUUUCUAAACCUGCAAUAAAUUUUAUUUUUGAU